CUGUCACAGCAAUUGCAAUGGAAAAUUCACUAAACAAUAGAUUCCAAUAGGAGCGCUCAAUAGAAUUCUAGAAUAGAAUAGAAAUUGAGAGAUCCUCUGUUCUAUCCUGUUUCCCCAAAAUAACUUGGUUAUAGAAGCUGCCUGGCAUUUAGUCUUUUACACAACUUACUGCCCCCAUUAACUCGUAAGAAACUCAAAGAACGAUAUUGUGCACAGGAAGAAAAAGAAGGAGAAGGAGGGGUCGGGAAGAACUUGUCAAUUGAACACAGGAGACAUGAUGGUUUCUACACAAACAACAAUCCUCCAUGCAGACAACCAAGUAAGAUUUUCUUACCUAUGCAGACAACCCUGUGGAGAUUUGUCCUGUCCAAAUAUACAUCCCUGAAGAACUUGUAA
rnacentral:lncRNA from 1 species